ensembl:ncRNA K10D3.9 ncRNA
GAGGCAGAAUCGAGGCAUGUCAGUGACAGAUCCAACCUGUUCUCUGCGUCUCCUUAUUUUGCAUGAUCCAUCGUUGCCCUCCCACUUUUCACAGUA